AUACGUAGGUGGCAAGCGUUGUCCGGAAUCAUUGGGCGUAAAGCGCGCGCAGGCGGUUUCUUAAGUCUGAUGUGAAAGCCCACGGCUCAACCGUGGAGGGUCAUUGGAAACUGGGAGACUUGAGUGCAGAAGAGGAAAGCGGAAUUCCACGUGUAGCGGUGAAAUGCGUAGAGAUGUGGAGGAACACCAGUGGCGAAGGCGGCUUUCUGGUCUGUAACUGACGCUGAGGCGCGAAAGCGUGGGGAGCAAACAGGAUUAGAUACCCUGGUAGUCCACGCCGUAAACGAUGAGUGCUAAGUGUUAGGGGGUUUCCGCCCCUUAGUGCUGCAGCUAACGCAUUAAGCACUCCGCCUGGGGAGUACGGCCGCAAGGCUGAA
rnacentral:rRNA from 1 species